rnacentral:lncRNA from 1 species
AAAAUUGAUCCAGAUUCAACAGGUUGUAAAUAUGAGCCCGUUAAAAAUGAUAAACUUAACAUUUGCCUGGCAAAGAAUGCCCUGUGCAAACGAGAAAGUAGACGGUGUCGUUGGGUUAAUAAUGAACGAAUGUUAACGUGGUAAUGAAAUCAACCAACAUGUACGUUUUCUUAAUGAUUAACCAGUAAACGAAACUAUUAGUCAGACUUUCUGAUGUACUUGUACAUGACUGUUUUCUCAUUAA